rnacentral:lncRNA from 1 species
UAAUAAUUAUAUAGGUACACUUGUAAUAAAAAUAAAUAUAUGCUUAAAUAAUAAGUAAAAGGUUUUUUUAUAAUAAUAUAUUAUUAAUAUUAUUAGUUAAAAUAAAAGAAAUAAAGUAAGUAAAUAAAACAAAAGAAGAACAGAAAAGAAACAGAGAAAGAGACGAAAAGAGGGGAAGAAAAAGGGGAAGAAAAGAAAGGGGAAAAUUUGAGAUUUUAAAGCUUCAAGUUUAAUUGGUAAGCUAAAUUUAGCCCUUUUCUCUUAAUUUUGAUGUUUUAGAAGCUUUAAAACAAAGUUUUGUUGAAAUUAAGGGGAGGUUAUGGAAGUUCAUAGGUUUUUGAACAUUUUUCAUUUUGAACAAGUUGUUAAAUUAGGGGUUUAGUUGAUAGAAUUUCUAGUUAGAAUAGAUAAAAGGAUUAAAUUGUAAACUAAGUUAUAAGUUUUACAUAGUUGGGAUUAAGUUAUAAAAAGCCUUAAAUUAGGGUUUAGUUAUGAAUAUAGAAUAGUUGAGUUAAAUAUGGCAAGAAAUUAAGUAGAAAAGAAGUAUGAAUUAAGUUAGAAAAUUAAGUAAGCUUAGUUAGAAUUAAAUUGGGAAUAAGUAGGAAUUGAAUAAAAUUUAAUUAUUAUUUUUUUAUGUUGUAAUUAAUAGUGAAAAUAAUUAUUAUUUUCGUAGCUAACAAGGAAAACGAGGCAUCGGCAUCCAAAGGAAAAGAAAAGAUCGUUGAGGAGUAAACACAUAUUCCGGGUUUGUAUUACUAUAACUUAAACUAUUUACUAAAUGCUAUAUUAAAAUUGUAAUCAUGGGACAUUUAAAGUAAGGUAAGUAAUAACAUUUGAAAUUAAGUAAGAAUAUGUGUGAAUAUUGAAUUAUAUGUGAAUUGAAAUAAUAGAUGUUUUGAAUUGUUUGAAUAUUUGAAAUUGUUGUGGAAAUGAAUUCGAAAUUGGAAAAGUAAAAUAAUACCCUAUUAACUUAUAGGACUAGAUUGGAUACAAAUGGCAUGCCAUAGGAUUUGUGAUGUGACAAGGAGAUUUGUAGUUCGGCCGAGAAGAUGAUUCUGUUAUUAUAUGCUUCGGUUUAUCCGAAGAGGCAUCUAAUGCCUUAUUGGUGUGUUUGGAGGUUAUGAUAUACUGGUGUGUUAUGGAGGAUUUAUAUUAUUCCGAAUGUGAUUAGGUUGGAUAUUCUGGUGUGUUUGGGUGGAAUCUGAGUAUCUGUCAGAGUCCGAGCCUUGUUAAUAGGGUAAAUAAUUGAAAUGAAAAUUUGAAAAUAAGAUUGGUUGAUUUGACACUAUUGAAAAAUACGAGAAAGAAUGUAUGAGUUAAAUUAUGAAUUGAAUUAGUAUGUAAUAUAUAUAUAUGAAUUUAAGAUUUGUGAAGUGAUAUAUAAAUAUGUAUAUUUAGUUUAAGUGAUUUAUAAGCUUAUGGUCGAUGUUUGAAAUUUUAUUAUUAUUAAAUAGUUUAAUUUAUAGUAAUACCACUGAGUAUGAAAUACUCAGCAUACGGUUGUUUCCGUGCUCAGGUUGUAGAAGUUAAGUACAGAACCAGCAUCCAAAACCAGACCCAACUUCAACAAAUUUUGGUGAUGUAUAUUUUCUUUUGGUAAUGUGGCAUGUACAUAGGAUGUGUAUAAAUGUUAUUAUGUUUUGAAUAUAAAUAGUUAAAAAUGUUAGUAGUAUAAGUCUAAGAAUUUUAAUGAAAGAAGUUUAUCCAUUUCAAUUUAAUUAGUACAUUGAUAAAUUUAAAUUGAUAUUAAGUUGAUUGAGUUUGAUUAGAAGGUAUUUAGAAUAGAAAAUGAGAAUGUGA